UGGGUUUGUCUUUGAUACUUUCGAGGAAUUUUUUUCCUCCUUGAGCUCAAUGGAAGCAGAGGCUGAUCAGCACCAAUAAAGAGUUAUGCUCAUUCUCAUCCAGGUCUGGAAAGUCUUCUUAUUAUUCAAAUUCAAAUAGUAGGCGGCUCUCCAAAAUUUCCGACAUAUUUAAUGGCACCCCAGAUGGGACUUCACAAGGGAUAGUGUGAUCUGCGCCCGGAAUCGGGACCGCUCUCUCAGACGGGUUACAGAGGCCGGCCAUAACAUUACGGUCCCUGGUGGUCCAGUGUCAGGCUCCUGCACUCUCAUUGCCAUGUCCUGGAUUGGAGUCCCAUGCAGGGAACCAAUCCGGCCACUGAGGGGUUAACUCUCCCAAGCCUGGAUAAAAUAGGAGGGUUGAUCAGCAAAGGGAUCUGGUGUAAAACCUUCACCAAAAUCAAAUGUGCAGAUCAAAUGAUCCGGUGUGGGAACCUCGUACUGUAAGCAGUGGAUAGACAAAAGCAACGUAUGAUCGACAGCGGACAGGAUCUGUCUUGUGUAUCGGCGGACCUCUCUCUCCUCCAGACGUUUGCGUUCACAGAUUCUGUCCAUCAGGUCUCCUCCGGCACACAGCUCCAUAGCCAUAUAGUAGCAGUUCUCGGUCUCUAGGGUCUCCAGCAGAAGGACAAUGUUAGGGUGACGGAUCAUCUGGUGGAUCUUCGGCUCGCGUUUCAUAUUUUUCAACACGUACGCAUCCUGCCGUGCCUUCUUCUUAUCGAUUACUUUAAUGGCCACCUGAGGAAAAAAGCGACAUAGAAAAACAAGACGAGUUAAUCAAACAAAUAAAUUGUGAAUAGAAUCUGUUCUGAUUCACCAAUGCAAAUAUGAGAGAAUGUGUGUGAGUGUGUGUGUGUGUGUGUGUGUGUGUGUGUGUGUGUGUGUGUGUGUGUGUGUGUGUGUGUGUGUGUGUGUGUGUGUGUGUGUCCAAACACAAUUAUUGAUUGAUCUUUUCCUAUAUGGUAUGUCUAUCAAAAGUUUUUUGAGCUUGAGUCUAAAUUUAAUAUACAGUAUGUUUAUCUACAGCUGGAUUGGAUUCUGCAUUACUUCUCGCUUUGGAGAAAAGUGCCUGCCAAAUAAAUGCAUAUAGAUGUAAAUCUAAGCGUGAAAGUAGAGUUCACAUAGACAUUGAGUUGGAAAGUACAAACACAGCCUUAUAAUUGAGUAAAGAGACCUUGUCCAGUGCAAGGGCUGAGGCUCAACAGAUUCAAUCCAAAUGUUUAAAUGUUAAAUUGUGAUGAAUCUUCAACCCUGUUGUCCAUCUGUGGCACAGUUUGUAUGCUACUAACGAAGGGGACUGAGCAGCGAUGGGGAAAGGGGCCCACAUGGCAGGACUGACUUGAUGCAUGCUAUUUAAUCAGACUCUUGGCCAUCGCUAUAGCAACUUUAGAAGCUAAACAAAGUGGUCAGGACAGACUCAGUGACCCGAACUAGGGCUGGACACACAGAUAUACACAUACUCACACGUACACUUAUGCACAUGUGUAUCCACAAAGUGACUGGAUUCGGUGACCCUUGAAAGAGUCGAUCACCAAGGUGAAGAGACAUAGCAUUCUCAUUUGGGUCUCUCUCACACACACCCUCACUCACACACACACACACACACACACACACACACACACACACACACACACACACACACACACACACACACACACACACACACA